UAAGGAAUAUUGGGCAAUGGAGGCAACUCUGACCCAGCAACGCCGCGUGAAGGAAGAAGGUCUUCGGAUUGUAAACUUCUGUUAUUGGGGAAGAAGAUAGUGACGGUACCCAAUGAGUAAGCCCCGGCUAACUACGUGCCAGCAGCCGCGGUAAUACGUAGGGGGCAAGCGUUGUCCGGAAUGACUGGGCGUAAAGAGAGCGUAGGCGGUUUGGUAAGUCAAAUGUGAAAGCCCGUAGCUUAACUACGGAACUGCAUUUGAUACUGCUAGACUCGAGUUCAGGAGAGGUAAGUAGAAUUCCUAGUGUAGCGGUGGAAUGCGUAGAUAUUAGGAGGAAUACCAGUGGCGAAGGCGGCUUACUGGAAUGACACUGACGCUGAGGCUCGAAAGCGUGGGGAGCAAACAGG
rnacentral:rRNA from 1 species